rnacentral:rRNA from 1 species
GUAGGUGGCAAGCGUUGUCCGGAAUUAUUGGGGCGUAAAGCGCGCGCAGGCGGUUCUUUAAGUCUGAUGUGAAAGCCCACGGGCUCAACCGUGGGAGGGUCAUUGGAAACUGGAGAACUUGAGUGCAGAAGAGGAAAGCGGAAUUCCACGUGUAGCGGUGAAAUGCGUAGAGAUGUGGAGGAACACCAGUGGCGAAGGCGGCUUUCUGGUCUGUAACUGACGCUGAGGCGCGAAAGCGUGGGGAGCAAACAGGAUUAGAUACCCUGGUAGUCCACGCCGUAAACGAUGAGUGCUAAGUGUUAGGGGGUUUCCGCCCCUUAGUGCUGCAGCUAACGCAUUAAGCACUCCGCCUGGGGAGUACGGCCGCAAAGGCUGA